rnacentral:rRNA from 1 species
GUGGGGAAUAUUGGACAAUGGGCUAAAGCCUGAUCCAGCAAUGCCGCGUGAGUGAUGAAGGCCUUAGGGUUGUAAAGCUCUUUUACCCGGGAUGAUAAUGACAGUACCGGGAGAAUAAGCUCCGGCUAACUCCGUGCCAGCAGCCGCGGUAAUACGGAGGGAGCUAGCGUUGUUCGGAAUUACUGGGCGUAAAGCGCACGUAGGCGGCUUUGUAAGUUAGAGGUGAAAGCCUGGAGCUUAACUCCAGAACUGCCUUUAAGACUGCAGCGCUUGAAUCCAGGAGAGGUGAGUGGAAUUCCGAGUGUAGAGGUGAAAUUCGUAGAUAUUCGGAAGAACACCAGUGGCGAAGGCGGCUCACUGGACUGGUAUUGACGCUGAGGUGCGAAAGCGUGGGGAGCAAACAGGAUUAGAUACCCGUGUAGUCC